UACGUAGGGUGCAAGCGUUAAUCGGAAUUACUGGGCGUAAAGCGUGCGCAGGCGGUUUUGUAAGUCUGUCGUGAAAUCCCCGGGCUCAACUUGGGAAUUGCGAUGGAGACUGCAAGGCUAGAAUCUGGCAGAGGGGGGUAGAAUUCCACGUGUGAGCAGUGAAAUGCGUAGAGAUGUGGAGGAACACCGAUGGCGAAGGCAGCCCCCUGGGUCAAGAUUGACGCUCAUGCACGAAAGCGUGGGGAGCAACAGGAUUAGAGUACCCCGGUAA
rnacentral:rRNA from 1 species